rnacentral:rRNA from 1 species
GACAGAGGGUGCAAACGUUGUUCGGAAUACUGGGCGUAAAGCGUGCGCAGGCGGUGAUGUAAGACCGAUGUGAAAUCCCCGGGCUUAACCUGGGAACUGCAUUGGUGACUGCAUUGCUGGAGUAUGGCAGAGGGGGGUGGAAUUCCACGUGUAGCAGUGAAAUGCGUAGAGAUGUGGAGGAACACCGAUGGCGAAGGCAGCCCCCUGGGCCAAUACUGACGCUCAUGCACGAAAGCGUGGGGAGCAAACAGG